rnacentral:lncRNA from 1 species
GGCUGGCUGAUUAGAAAGCUUCCAGGACUUCCCCUGUCUCCACAUCCUAUCUACUGUAGGAAGCCUGGGAUACACAGGAUGUUGGGUCUGGGGCACCCGAUUCUGGUCCUCAGUUUUGCAUGAAAGACCUUUGACUGGGAAGAGAUGACCAUGAUUUCCUGUACCAGCAUCAAAGCCCCCUUCUCUGAACCAAGCAUCUUCCAAGAAGAGGAUUGCCCGGUGAUGGUUGAUUUUUCACAUUGUGUUCCAACAGAACAGUUAAUCUUCUGGAAGUACAUGAUGUGCCACACACUUUCUGAUCACAGGCACAUGGGAAACACACUAAGUUUGCUUUCACUACACGUUGAAGAUCUCCCAAAGGCAGGUUGAUGGUCUCCUGCCAGCCUGCCUCAUGUGAGCUGACAUGAAGACAAAAUAAUAAACCCAUGGCACCAGCUUUUCAUAUGUGUGUUGAAAUCUUGCUAAGUGGAAUGUGAAAUGAUGAGAAGGAACCUAAUAAGCUGGAGUUGAUCUGAAUGCCAACCCAGCAAGUGCCACGAAAAUCAAACCGUAUCAUAGAGGAGGUUUGGGAGCAUUAGUCAAAUUCCCUUCCUGCUUUCCUUUUCAUGUUGUUUGUUUUGUUUGCAUGAUCCUUUCACUGGAUGGUUCUCAUAGACUCAGAAAGAAAUCAACACCACAGAAGAAAGAGAAUCUGAC